AAGUCGUAACAAGGUUUCCGUAGGUGAACCUGCGGAAGGAUCAUUAGUGAAUCUUGGUGGGGGGAUUGUUGAUACUUGGUAUAUAGAAUGGGGUAUUGUACUGUAUUGUACUGUAUUGUACUGUAUUGUACUGUAUUGUACUGUAUUGUACUGUAUUGUACUGUAUUGUACUGUAUUGUACUGUAUUGUACUGUAUUGUACUGUAUUGUACUGUAUUCCUUAUAUAUGUCAAUCUCAUCCACCCAUCCAUAACAACAUUUGCCUUGGGCACUUUUGUCUAUUUAGUCUGACUGAUUGAUUUUAAUUAGUUUAAACAACUUUUAACAAUGGAUCUCUUGGCUCUC
rnacentral:misc_RNA from 1 species